UGGGGAAUAUUGGACAAUGGGCGAAAGCCUGAUCCAGCCAUGCCGCGUGUGUGAAGAAGGUCUUCGGAUUGUAAAGCACUUUAAGUUGGGAGGAAGGGCAGUAAGCGAAUACCUUGCUGUUUUGACGUUACCGACAGAAUAAGCACCGGCUAACUCUGUGCCAGCAGCCGCGGUAAUACAGAGGGUGCAAGCGUUAAUCGGAAUUACUGGGCGUAAAGCGCGCGUAGGUGGUUCGUUAAGUUGAAUGUGAAAGCCCCUGGCUCAACCUGGGAACUGCAUCCAAAACUGGCGAGCUAGAGUAGGGCAGAGGGUGGUGGAAUUUCCUGUGUAGCGGUGAAAUGCGUAGAUAUAGGAAGGAACACCAGUGGCGAAGGCGACCACCUGGGCUCAUACUGACACUGAGGUGCGAAAGCGUGGGGAGCAAACAGG
rnacentral:rRNA from 1 species